GACCAAUUCUACAAGAUGCUCCUUUUUCUUGUAAAUUUGUACCAAAGAUAUGGCAAAUUACUUCAAAACCAGUUUGGAUAAGGCAAACCCAGGGCAAGCAUUGCAAGGAAAGAGGAGCCAUAGAAACCUUGUCUUUAUUUCUCAUUUUCUCCAUGUGAUUUUUCAAUGUUUGUAGUAACCAACAGGAAGCAAAGAUGGAGGCAUCCAUUUGC